rnacentral:rRNA from 1 species
GACGAGGGAUGCAAGCGUUAUCCGGAAUCAUUGGGCGUAAAGCGUCUGUAGGUGGUGAUGCAAGUCACUGGUGCAAAACUCUGGCUCAACCGGAGGAAAGCCAGUGAAACUGAAUGACUAGAGUGUGGGAGAGGUAGAAGGAAUUCCCUGAGUAGCGGUGAAAUGCGUAGAUACAGGGAAGAACACCGGAGGCGAAAGCGUUGUACUGGAACACAACUGACGCUGGGAGACGAACGCUAGGGGUGCGGAUGGG